CCUACGGGUGGCAGCAGUGGGGGAUAUUGCACAAUGGGGGAAACCCUGAUGCAGCGACGCCGCGUGAGUGAAGGAGUGUUUCGGUAUGUAAAGCUCUAUCAGCAGGGAAGAGACUGACGGUACCUGACUAAGAAGCCCCGGCUAACUACGUGCCAGCAGCCGCGGGAAUACGUAGGGGGCGAGCGUUAUCCGGAUUUCCUGGGUUAAAAGGGGACGUAGGCGGACUGGAAAGGCAGCGGGAAAAUCGAGAGGCUCAACCUCUUUCCGCCGUUGAAACUGUAGGGCUGGAGUGGGAGAGAAGCAGGCGGAAUGCGUGGUGUAGCGGUGAAAUGCAUAGAUAGCACGAAGAACUCCGAUGGCGAAGGCAGCAUACCGGCGCCCGACUGACGCUGAGGCACGAAAGCGUGGGUAGCGAACAGGAUUAGAUACCCGAGUAGUC
rnacentral:rRNA from 1 species